UUUGUAGGAGAGGACACCCAGCAGAACUCAGCUGUGUACAUUGUUAUUCUAAUUGUCAUUCCUAUUAUUGUAGCAGUGCUUGCUAUAGCCAUUCUGGUGAAUAUGAAAAGAAUGUGUAUGUUAAUCUUACCACCAAUUCCAGAUCCUGCAAAGUAUAUUGGGCACUUUCUUGAGCAAGGAGGAGAAAAAGCUGGGACUAAAGCACUUAAGAAAAACCCAAUAUUCAUACAACCAGUGGAGGAAUCCCUUGACACCAUCACAGUCGAUUCACCUUUUCUUCCCGAACAGCAAAAGAAGAAUGGAAGUGUCCUAGAUUGUUAAUUCCCAUGGACCACUGCAGUGGAUGAAGACUAUCCUUACACCAUCUGAAGAGAGGAUCCAUUAUAUUGCAUUAUUGCCCAUGUCUCAGUUUCAAAGAACUGAUCUUUUGCAAAACUUGGCAUAUGUUUGAUGGGUUGAGUAACUUUGGAUGGCUUAUAUUACACAGCUUAGCUGCAAAAGUGGAAUAUUGUAUGUACUGUUGUAUGUACUUAAAUGUAGGCAGUUCAUCUGAUUGCAUUGUUUCCGGUGCGUUACAUAAUAUAUGCAGUUAUGUGGCCACCAACCAUGGUGACCCUCUAAACAUGUUAAAUAUGCAAGUUAAAAGAAAAUGGAAGGAGGCUUAUGGCAGGGAGGUCAUUGUAUUCCCACAUGAGGAGAAGUAAGGGUGCAGUAGGAUUACACUUACGAUCUUUUUUUUUUUUUUGGAAAAUGCAUUUAUUUUUUGCUUUGAUAUGUGAUAGAAUGUAAAUUCCUGGUAUGUUUACUAUUAAUUUAUGAAUUUUGUUCAGUGACUUGAUUUUUCAGGUCAGGUUGACUAAAUGGGUUUUUGCUUAAGCCUGUUAUUUCAGGCAUUUUAUUUUCAAUACUGAAAAGUUGGACCAGAGAUGGAUCAUGGUCAAAUGGGGUGCUAGGCAUGGUAAUGGAUUGGACCCCUCCCCCCAGCAUUCAUUCCAGUGUCCCAUUACUUGCCUAGUUCUCCCCAGUCACCAUAAAUACUGUUCAAACCUCUCAGUGUGCAUACUGUUUUGCUUUACUUCUCAUUUGAUUACAGAUAUUUGUAUUUAGUUUAGAAUUCUAUAAAUUUUAGUUUAGUUUUAAGUAAACAUUUUAUAAAGUUUAAAACUUUUAUAGCACUAACACUGAUGGACAUUUGCUAAACAAACCAAUACAGUCUCAAAACAAAAACAAACUUGGCAUUAACUGUGAACUU